ensembl:lncRNA
GGGAGAUUUCUUAUUUCCAUGGUGUGAAUUGAUGCUUAAAACAACACUCAGGAAUGCUUUUUAGCUGAAUGUUUGUGAAUAUGCAACAAUAUAGUGAAUUUUGAAUUCGCUAAUAGCUUAAGAGGACUGUCUUCAUUAUAAACAAUAGACUUGCAGCAAUCAUAAGUGCAAUACUUUGUGCAAACCCUGAACUUCCACAUCCCACAGAGCUUAUAAACGAGACUGGGUGAAAGGGAAGAGGAGGGCUGAAAUACAGCUGGAUAGAGAAUGAUGUGAUAGCAUCAGGGCAAGGAGGAAUUAGGAAACCAAGACAGUAAUGGUAGGAGAAACAGGUCAAUCUUCCUUACAAGCUCCCUAGGAAGGGAGAAUAGCUGCAUAGAAAAGGAAAUGUGGAAGGGAGAACACAGUACUGCUUUGCUGGGCUCUGCUGGACGAGUUGCAGAAUGCCUCUGUUAUGAUUGCACUGAGAAAGCUAUACUAGCUUGUGAGCACACUACACAAGGCAGCCAUAGGGCAGACCUAGUGCUGGUACCAAGAACUAUUCCACCAACAGGAUUAAAUGGCUUGCUCUCUAACAGGCAUUCCUACAAAAUCGUUAGCUCAGAUCUCAAACAGUUCUCCUCAUUAUAUGGAAGACUGCGAAGACAUUUCUGCUUCAGCUGCAUCUUGGCCUUCCUGACCUCGUCCAUAAAAAACUGGGAGACAGAAAAAAAGCAAAAGGAAGAAAAGAAUAUGAAAUCUGCAUACCCUUCUCCACUUGCUACCUUUUGCUGCCUACCUCUAACAGGCAAGCAAAGGACAGUCUGAGAAGGUGAAGUGUUUUCCCUGAAUAUGUACUAGAUGGAAUGUGACUCAGAGCCUUGAAGUUCUCCAUGACAGACUGUUCUUCUGGAAAGCAAAACUACUUCUGAACAAUGGUAUCAUGUGUUUGUUGGAAAUACCUUUUCUACAAAAGAGUAAUGUAUGUGGACGAUCAUCAAAUGAAAACUUCUCACAGAACUUAAAUGACCAAACCCUUUGGUUUUCUGCUUUUGGUAAACUAUGUAUGCCAGGAAUUAUGCAUUGGAACAGUUCAACACUACUAUUAAAACCCAAAACAUGUGUACCAGCAAGAAUUACAGUAAUUUCACGACUAUAAGGCGCACCCUUUUGACUAAAAUUUUGGCCUGAACCCAGAAGUGCACCUUAUAGUCUGGUGCGCCUUAUAUAUGGACAAAGUUUGGAAAUUUGCCAACCUGAAAGUGCGAGCCGCGAGCCGCAGAGGGAGCCAGCAGGGCCGCGGCUGUCGGUUUGAGGCAGGGCCUUGGCCAGCAACCGCAUGGUGGGAGCUGGCGGCAGAUCCUCACUGCAAAAAAAAAGUGCACCUUAUAGUCUGGUGCGCCUUAUAUAUUGGCAAAAGUUCGGUAAUUUGCCGACACCCGGAAGUGCACCUUAUAGUCCGGUGCGCCUUAUAGUAAUGAAAUUACUGUAUAUAUUUUUUUGCUUUGGCUAAGAAUUUAGUUACAUUUUUAGAAGACUACUGUGGCUUCUAUUUUCAAACUUAGACUUUGAAUCUUGCAAAGAUCUGGUCUAAAUUUUUUUUACUUUUCUUUCGCCUUUAAUAUUUAGCACUUAUCUGCUAAUAAAUAUUUGUUCAUUAAGUGCUUUACAGUUUCAAAGCAUUACAUGAUAACUCACUAUUAACAAACAAAGCUUUAAAAAGAAAUCCUGGAAAACAGAGUGUUUUAUAAAACCAUCACAACUUAACUGACAUCCAACUGAUGCAUAGUACCGUGGUUAGUGCUCUGGAAUGACUGACCACAUGGGGAGAACUUCAGAUGACAAAAAUUGUUCCAGAUAGGAGAUGUCAAGGCACAAUUCUCAAUGUUGAGGCAGCUCUAUUUACUCUUAGCUGCUGUGGGUUCCACAUCUAUGUCCAGGUCUGACAGAGCACAGUAGAAGAGCAUCUGAACAUACUUCGUUAUUGUAGCUGCACUGGCAAAAAUGUGUGAGAGAAAUUUAUAAUGUAUCUUAGAUAUACAUCUGGAUUUUGAGGAUUUGAAAACAGUAUACAGAUAUUAGGAAAAUCUUGAAGCACCUUAAUAGAAUUAAGCAUAUGUUAUAAAUAGCUAAA